rnacentral:rRNA from 1 species
GGGUUGUGAGGUUAAGCGACUAAGCGUACACGGUGGAUGCCCUGGCAGUCAGAGGCGAUGAAGGGCGUGCUAAUCUGCGAUAAGCGCCGGUAAGGUGAUAUGAACCGUUAUAACCGGCGAUACCCGAAUGGGGAAACCCAGUGUGAUUCGUCACACUAUCAUUAACUGAAUCCAUAGGUUAAUGAGGCGAACCGGGGGAACUGAAACAUCUAAGUACCCCGAGGAAAAGAAAUCAACCGAGAUUCCCCCAGUAGCGGCGAGCGAACGGGGAGGAGCCCAGAGCCUGAAUCAGCAUGUGUGUUAGUGGAAGCGUCUGGAAAGGCGCGCGAUACAGGGUGACAGCCCCGUACACAAAAGCGCAUGUGCUGUGAGCUCGAUGAGUAGGGCGGGACACGUGGUAUCCUGUCUGAAUAUGGGGGGACCAUCCUCCAAGGCUAAAUACUCCUGACUGACCGAUAGUGAACCAGUACCGUGAGGGAAAGGCGAAAAGAACCCCGGCGAGGGGAGUGAAAAAGAACCUGAAACCGUGUACGUACAAGCAGUGGGAGCACAGGUUUACCUGUGUGACUGCGUACCUUUUGUAUAAUGGGUCAGCGACUUAUAUUCUGUAGCAAGGUUAACCGUAUAGGGGAGCCGUAGGGAAACCGAGUCUUAACCGGGCGUUAAGUUGCAGGGUAUAGACCCGAAACCCGGUGAUCUAGCCAUGGGCAGGUUGAAGGUUGGGUAACACUAACUGGAGGACCGAACCGACUAAUGUUGAAAAAUUAGCGGAUGACCUGUGGCUGGGGGUGAAAGGCCAAUCAAACCGGGAGAUAGCUGGUUCUCCCCGAAAGCUAUUUAGGUAGCGCCUCGUGAAUUCAUCUCCGGGGGUAGAGCACUGUUUCGGCUAGGGGGCCAUCCCGGCUUACCAACCCGAUGCAAACUGCGAAUACCGGAGAAUGUUAUCACGGGAGACACACGGCGGGUGCUAACGUCCGUCGUGAAGAGGGAAACAACCCAGACCGCCAGCUAAGGUCCCAAAGUCAUGGUUAAGUGGGAAACGAUGUGGGAAGGCCCAGACAGCCAGGAUGUUGGCUUAGAAGCAGCCAUCAUUUAAAGAAAGCGUAAUAGCUCACUGGUCGAGUCGGCCUGCGCGGAAGAUGUAACGGGGCUAAACCAUGCACCGAAGCUGCGGCAGCGACACUGUGUGUUGUUGGGUAGGGGAGCGUUCUGUAAGCCUGUGAAGGUGGCCUGUGAGGGUUGCUGGAGGUAUCAGAAGUGCGAAUGCUGACAUAAGUAACGAUAAAGCGGGUGAAAAGCCCGCUCGCCGGAAGACCAAGGGUUCCUGUCCAACGUUAAUCGGGGCAGGGUGAGUCGACCCCUAAGGCGAGGCCGAAAGGCGUAGUCGAUGGGAAACGGGUUAAUAUUCCCGUACUUGGUGUUACUGCGAAGGGGGGACGGAGAAGGCUAUGUUGGCCGGGCGACGGUUGUCCCGGUUUAAGCGUGUAGGUGUGUGUUCCAGGUAAAUCCGGUUCACUUUAACACUGAGGCGUGACGACGAGGCACUACGGUGCUGAAGCAACAAAUGCCCUGCUUCCAGGAAAAGCCUCUAAGCAUCAGGUAACAUCAAAUC